rnacentral:ncRNA from 1 species
UUGAGCCGUAUGAGCGGAAACCAUCAUGUACGGUUCUGAGGGCUAUCUAUUACCCACAAAUGUCCUUGGCAAGGGUCGCCCCUUCGACAAUUGCCGCGAAUUUUAUCAUACCUCUCCAAAUAUGAGUAAUUCCAGGCUGCUUAUCUCCUUUUCUUGCCAGGAAUCCGCCGAGUGACCCUAC